rnacentral:rRNA from 1 species
CCUACGGGUGGCAGCAGUGGGGAAUAUUGGACAAUGGGGGAAACCCUGAUCCAGCGACGCCGCGUGAGUGAAGAAGUAUUUCGGUACGUAAAGCUCUAUCAGUAGGAAAGAAAAUGACGGUACCUGACUAAGAAGCCCCGGCUAACUACGUGCCAGCAGCCGCGGUAAUACGUAGGGGGCAAGCGUUAUCCGGAUUUACUGGGCGUAAAGGGAGCGUAGGCGGCAGCGCAAGUCUGGAGUGAAAUGCCGGGGCUCAACCCCGGAACUGCUCUGGAAACUGUGAAGCUAGAGUGCAGGAGAGGUAGGCGGAAUUCCUGGUGUAGCGGUGAAAUGCGUAGAGAUCAAGAGGAACACCGACGGCGAAGGCGGCUUACUAGACUAUAACUGACGUUGAGGCGCGAAGGCGUGGGGAGCAAACAGGAUUAGAUACACCGGUAGUC